UACAUAUCUAUUUUUACAUUUCUCAAGAAUCUUUCUCUCUGUUUUUCUGUGUAUGGUGAAGUUUUUGUGAUCUAAGCAGACUGUCAUCAUAUAGGAAGUAGAGAGGUUUGUUAGAAGGACUGUAGUUGUAGAGAAAGUCACUUGUCUGUGGGGACAGAAUGGAGCACACCUUGCUCUGUUUGCUACUAUGUAAGUACUGAGUUAGUGUGUUUGUUUAUGAACACUAAUUACCUGAUUUACUAAGAAUUUAAGGGAAAAAGGAAUAAGACAUUAAUCGAAAUGAAGACAGUUUCAUGCUUUAGCUUUGUUUAUGGUGUUUUAGCCCUUAUUGGGAAAAUAUUAGUAAAUGGCACUCAAAGGAAAUAUCAGCAAAUAUGGUGUAGAUAUGAAGAAAGAAAGUGACCACCCUACUACAUCGAUGUUGCAACACUGUGAGAACCUGAGCUUGUAUAGCCGAUGCCAUGCAGACCUGGUUAGUGUGGUGUGCAUUUAACCAGGUCAUCACUCAGGAACUAAAGAGUGGUGCUAACUCAGUGGUUGCAAAAUGUGCUGUCAAUGACAAUGAAUAUAAAAUGUAAUAUGUGUUGGAUGUGUUGUUGUAUCAAGUUGUGAUUAUUGUAAAUGGUUGAGGGUUCCUUUGCUACAGUUAUAGUAAACUGUGUUAAGAGAUUAACGAGUGGUGUUUUGGUGUUUUUGGUCUCUGUACACUCUCUGUGUGCAGAACAUGGGAAGUCAGCGGCCAUUUAAAGCUGCAGUCCGUAAUUCAAACUCCCACAAAAUGGCCACCCUGACACUUUUUGUUGUAUAUGGCUGAGGGAUGGGGCUAAGGAAAUUCAUUAACGAGAGUCUUGUCUUUAAAAUGGUGUAAAAUAGUCAUAUCUAUGAGAAAUUGAAGUAAUAGCAUUUCUAAGGUAUUUGAAUAUCGCGCCACGGGAUUACACUGGCUGUUGAGUAGGUGGGACGCAAGCGUCCCACUGGCCCAGAGAGGUUAACUGGGGCUGUACCUGGCUUCAAUUGAGAAUAGACCGAAUCUACGUCAUGUGGGGUUGCUGUUUCUGUAAGGAAUGAGGAUAAAACAUCAGCAUAAUAUAACAGUUAUACACAGAAUAUUAUGCAUCUAGUCAAUUUGGGGUCAGAGGUGUGUGGUUAUGAUAGUGGGAAAAUGAAAGGAGGGAUGUCCAAUCUUACCUUUCUUCUUCUUGGCUUUGGCCUUCUGUUUAAGGUCAACCUCAGCAUAGGUCACAUCACAUCCAGUUGCUGCUGAAAAUGGACAUUUCCAGUCAAUAAAUUAAGGAAUUAGAUUAUUCAGCAUCUUUUUUGAAACUCCAAAAACACACAUUUAGAUUUCACUGACUGCCAACCUGUAGAAUGGGUCUCACCUUUGGUCUUCCCGGUCUUGACCUCAGAAUAGACUGGAUUUUCUUCUGGAUCAGCUGUCAUUUCUGAGGAGGAGGAGAGAAUUUGUUCAUUUUUAUCAAAUUUGAUGAGUAAAAAACACUGCUACAUUUUGUAUUAAUUUAUGUGACAGUUGAGAAUUUCUUUUCUUUUUCUUGUCCAACUUUUUGAGUUGAAUCUGUGCGCACAUCACUUGAUCCAGCAGUAGCAGCACCAGCAUCUGAAAUAUACAGAAACAGCAACCCCACCUGAGGCAGAUUCGGUCUAUUCUCAAGUGAAGCCAUGUACAGCCCCAGGUACUUGAGGGGUCAGGGAUGGAGGGAUGGAGGAAUGGAGGGAUGGAGGAAUGGAGGCAUGGAAGGAUGGAUGGAUGGAGGGAUGGAAGGACACAACAUUAGAGGAGGAGUAGAAGGAACCCGGAACAUGGAUUUUGCACUCUCAACGCACACAAGCAAACAAACACACACAAACACACACACAAUAACACCUUGUACAUUAAAGAGUUCUUACUUAUUUUAUUUACCAACAGAUAUAUUAUUUAAGCAUGGUUUAAUUGUGUAUUACUUUAACAGCUUUUUUUAAUUACAUGGAUUAAUGAUGAUGGAUCUUAUCUGCAGCAACAGAAAUUGUAUCUGCUUUUUGUUGUGUAUUGAAUUGUAGUGUUUUGUUGUAAAUUUAUUAAAACGUAUUAUCUUCGAUUUAUUAUGUCUGUCAUUCAGAUCAUAGAAUAACAUAUUUGUAUGUGAAUUUCCAAAAAGUAUUAUUCAUGUUUCCUUCUAAUGGAAUGUACUUUAACAAUGUCUUUGCAUUGUGCUUUUUUAAUAAACAAUUUUUUAUCCA